rnacentral:rRNA from 1 species
UGAUCCUGGCUCAGGACGAACGCUGGCGGCGUGCUUAACACAUGCAAGUCGAACGAUGAAGCCCAGCUUGCUGGGUGGAAGAGUGGCGAACGGGUGAGUAACACGUGAGUAACCUGCCCCGAACUCUGGGAUAAGCGCUGGAAACGGCGUCUAAUACUGGAUAUGUCCCAUCACCGCAUGGUGUGUGGGUGGAAAGAUUUAUCGGUUCGGGAUGGACUCGCGGCCUAUCAGCUUGUUGGUGAGGUAAUGGCUCACCAAGGCGACGACGGGUAGCCGGCCUGAGAGGGUGACCGGCCACACUGGGACUGAGACACGGCCCAGACUCCUACGGGAGGCAGCAGUGGGGAAUAUUGCACAAUGGGCGCAAGCCUGAUGCAGCAACGCCGCGUGAGGGAUGACGGCCUUCGGGUUGUAAACCUCUUUUAGUAGGGAAGAAGCGAAAGUGACGGUACCUGCAGAAAAAGCACCGGCUAACUACGUGCCAGCAGCCGCGGUAAU